UUGAGAUAUUGCGUUGGAUGGACGUACAACCCGAAAAUAUAAUGCCUUCGGCCACGGCUGUCGCGGAGGCGUAAAAAGGCAGGUUAACACAUCCCUAAUACAUUUAAGUAGGGAGUUAUACUAUCAUACAAGUUAACACUAAGAUAAGUAAACUAAGAAUGUCUUUACAUAUUGUAAGUGAUCUUACUGUCUGCGAGGGGAGCGGGAUCUAGACCGGGAACGCGUUCUUGAACGAGAUCCACUUCCGCUCCUGCUGUUCCUUCCGAUCUUUACGUCUUUCCUUAAGCUG